rnacentral:lncRNA from 1 species
GAAAUAUUUUGUCAACAACUUUAAAGCCCUCAAUUUUCCAAAGCUGCCUGGGCACUCUGAAAUACUCUUAGGCACCACAAAUAGCCUGAGACAAACAACUGCAUAUUUAAGUCUGUAUUAGGCUAAGAACCUUAUCCACAUUCCAUGUGAUGGAAACUAUUUAACCUCUCUUUGAUAGUGGGAAAAAUGGUAACUAUGACCUAGCUACUGCCAUACCAUUAAGAGCCUAAUUCCUCCCUUGGUUAGUUUAGGCCUUGUUACUUAUGUUUCUCAUGACAUUCUUUCUUGGUGACUAGGAUUCCAGCUUUUAAAUUUUGUCCUCAAAUGGGAAUAAUUUCAAGCAAAAGCCAAUGUUUGGAGGCCCUGAGAACAAAACCUCACCAUGGAGCUCCUUGGCAGUGCUGGCAUGGAGACCUGUGUUCGGACUGUGGAGGGGAAGGGGUGCGUACACGUGUGGCAGCCAGAAAGUAAACUAGCUGACUUCAGUGACUGACGCUGUUCCGCCAGACACCUCCACUAGCACUUCACACAGGUCUCUAGACAGCACAGGAAGCAAAUCUAAAAUGAGAGUCUUACAAAAAACCUUUUUUUUCCUGUUCUCAACCAUUUUCCCUCGUCAAACAUCAUCCCAAGGCUACAACAACCUUACAAAGGACACAUGACUCUGUGCAGAAGUUAAGUUCCUGUGUAGAGCUUUCACACAGAAAACUUCCUAAUUGAGCUCAUGGGUGUUUUCAUCUCAAACUUGCUUAGAGGCUCGAAGAACCACAGCACUUCACUGGGGCACCUCCUACUUGAGAUGCUUGACGACUGGGGAGAUGGGAGCGGUGGGUAGUGACCCAUCCAUGCCUGCUCCCACCUUACAGAUUUGAGAGAGGAAGACCUACAGAGCCUCUCGUUUGCAAGAGCCAAUUGGAAGGCCUGCAUGAAGCUUUUGCUCUUGCCUAGGAAAACCCAAGUGUGGUCAUUUGCCCAGCUGAACUGUACAUUUACGGGUGGCCUAGCAGCCAGUGACUAGCCAAGCUGGCUGCAUACUCAAGAGUAUCCUUACCUAAGUAAGGAUUAACUGAUACGGAACCGACCUCAGUCCCCCGGAAGUGGCUUGUAUUCGUCAAUAAUUUGGCGCUAACUUGCAGCCAUUGCUCUGUUAACACAAGACUGAGUGUCUUGUCCAGAGCUGCCCUGCUGUGUGACCAUGCUAAGCUCCACUCCAGCUUCCCCAGCAAUAGUCAUGCAAUUGGGCAGAGGCCAGGACUGGACAAGAUGGCACGACUGGCGUUGUACAGAUGAAAGGGGAAAGGGUGAACAGAAAAUCAUCAUUUAUCUAAACAGAAUAGAAAUAAAAACCUUUUUAAAACAAUCAAAAUUUACAAAUAAAUUGGUACAAAAUAAAUAGAGAUUGUAAAUCUACAA